rnacentral:lncRNA from 1 species
CCUCGAUGCCCCCACCCGGCUCCCGAGCAGCCCGCAAGGGCCUGCCUUUCCGAACCCCCUCUUGAAGCUCCGUGGCUCGGCUCAGCCACCGUUGGCCCCGUGGGACCCACCGCACGGAGACCACACGGAGGGCCCGUCCGGCUUGGGCAGGAGGCUCCCAGACAAGCCGAGCACCGGGCACACGCGCCUGAGCGCUGGCGCCUCCCAGGGGAGCGGGCCGUGCCCGGCGCCGGCAGGGCUCAGGGGAGGCGAGGGAGGCAGAAAGCCCGGGAUGGGGACCCGUGGCGAGCACAGAGCAAGUGUGAAGGCCAGGACCCGGGGGCUCCGGAGGCCGGGAUGCUGGGAAAAGAGCCAGGGAGGCCGGGAGCGGGAAGAGAGUUUGGAAGCGGCAUCAGGAACAUCAUCGACUGGAACCCCCAGAAAGUGCACGGGUUUCUUUCUGGGGCCGUGCCCGCGGCAUAUGGAGGCCAAAUAGGAGCUGCAGCUGCCGGCCUACACCACAGCCACAGCCACGCCAGAUCCGAGCCGUGUCUGCAACCUACACCACAGCUCCCGGCAACGCCGGAUCCUCACCGACGGAGCAAGGCCAGGGACUGAACCCGCAACCUCAUGGAAGCGAGUCAGAUUCAUUACUGCUGAGCCAUGAUGGGGACUCCCCAAGGAGUUUUUUGGUACGUGUGGAAAAACCAGACUCAUUCCUAAUUUAGACAAGGAGACACAGUCAGCUCCUCCUCCCCAGGCCCUGACAUCUUCAUCACCACAGCUCCUCCCCAGCUCCUCCCCGGCCGACUCCAAACUCCCAGGAGCACCCGUGUCUCCAGCAGUGAGGUCCGGAGGCCAGGGUGGAGAGCAACACCCAUGGGAGGGGGCUGGUGGCAGGGCCCUGACCUCAGGCGGGGAGGACCGUCCCCAGGACAAAGCCCGACGAGGGACGCUGCGGGGCCGGCCGCCCCCAGGCCCCGGGGGACAGCAGAAGGCCGCCACAAAGGCGAGGCCCCCGAGGCCCGAGGGGAAGGGGUGGGAGAAGAAAGGCAGGCGGGGUGCUCAGCUUUCCAGCCCAGCUCACAGAGCUUUAUUCAGAACGGCGGACAGGACCCACCCGAUGCCGGCCGGUGGCACCUGAGGCCGCGGCGACCACGGACCCGAGCGCGAGGCCCAUCUGCCCCCGCUUCCUGCUCAACUCCCAGGACCCGGGGCCUCCUUUCAGGCCCCAAGUUCCCCUGGGUCUCACCCUCCGGCCACCCACACCACCACCCACGCUGCCAGGCCUGGGCAGGGCCCAGGGCCGGCUGCCAAGGCUGAUGUAACGAUAUUCCCGGGGCUGGGAAUCCCCUGGCAGCUCUGAGGGACACUCACCACAGGAAGAAGGCGCCUCUGUCACCGUCCCUCGGCCGCGCACACAGACGCGGGC